rnacentral:misc_RNA from 1 species
GAUGAAGAACGUAGCGAAAUGCGAUAAGUAAUGUGAAUUGCAGAAUUCAGUGAAUCUUCGAAUCUUUGAACGCAUCUUGCGCUCCUUGGUAUUCUGAGGAGCAUGCCUGUUUGAGUGUCAUCAAAUUCUCAACCACUUCUUUUGAUGUGGCUUUGGAUAUGGGGGGAUUUCUUUUUUGCAGGCUUCUGAAAAACAAAGUCGGCUCCCCUGAAAUGUAUUAGUGGUGUCUGAGCAGGAGACUACUAUGGGUGUGAUAAAUCUAUCUAUGCCUUGGUACAACUGCUAUGCCGCUUCUAGCGAGUGCAUUUGACAAAUUUGACCUCAAAUCAGGUAGGACUACCCGCUGAACUUAAGCAUAUCAAUAAGCGGAGGA